rnacentral:rRNA from 1 species
UGCGUAGGCGGUGCCCUAAGUCUGUUGUGAAAUCUCCUGGCUCAACUGGGAGGGUGCGGUGGAAACUGGGGUGCUUGAGAGUGGGAGAGGUUAGCGGAAUUCCUGGUGUAGCGGUGAAAUGCGUAGAUAUCAGGAGGAACACCGGUGGUGUAGACGGCUGACUGGACCACGACUGACGCUGAGGCACGAAAGCGUGGGUAGCAAACA